GGACCGCUAGUGCACAUAGCCUGUGUUCUCCAUCAGUGUUUUAUUCUAGGCUACUACACUGCGAGAGAGCAGACACACCUCUCGAAAAUCAAAGGAGACUUGAUACGGCACUUCUGAUAUCUCGCCUGGAACUUCCUCUUUUAUAGCAGGACCUGAGCCCUAGGACCAUGCCUCAGGACUACCUGGCCUGAUGACUACUUGCUGUCCCCAGUCCAUCUGGUCGUGCUGCUGCUCCAGUUUCAACUGUUCUGCCUGCGGCUAUGGAACCCUGACCUGUUCACGUGAUACCUUGUCCCAGACCUGCUGCUUUCAACUCUCUAGAGACAGCAGGAGUAAACUGACAUUUACUCCUGAGGUGCUGACCUGUUGCACCUGUUGCACCCUUAUUUGACCCUGCUGGUCAUCUAUGAACAUUUGAACAUCUUGGCCAUGUUCUGUUAAAAUCUCUACCCGGCACAGCCAGAAGAGGACUGGCCACCCCUCAUAGCCUGGUUCCUCUCUAGGUUUCUUCCUAGGAUCUGGCCUUUCUAGGGAGUUUUUCCUAGCCACCAUGCUUCUACACCUGCAUUGCUUGCUGUUUGGGGUUUUAGGCUGGGUUUCUGUGCAGUACUUUGUGACAUCAGCUGAUGUAAAAACGGCUUUAUAAAAAAAAUAUAUAAUAAAAAACAACAACAUUGAUUGAUUGAUGGCUACAUGCAGCUCUUGAUUUGAUCUCACAACAAGCGCAUCUACUCGACCACAGCUGUAAACACAGUCUAGUUCAAAGUAAAUGGCACAGAUCCAUUUAUGGUAAUAGUCUAUUUGCAUAUAGGCCUACAACAAAAUCUCUUGCAUAGUUCGUUUUGUUUCAGUAUGUUGCAUUGAAAGUGGCUAAUAUUGCGUUGCUUCUGUCACAAUUUCCACAGUAAAGGGAAACGUUGACAGUGUUAACUAAGAGGGAAAACUCUAGAAAGUUGAGUGAAGUUAAAUCUCCUGCUUCUCAUUGUGGGCUGAUAUUUCUUCUGAGCUCUGCGUGGCAGUCCCGGGGGAUCAGUCAUAAACAUUUGAGAAUAGGCGUAUCACCUCGCUCAUGCAUGCAUAUCAAAAUCAGCAUCUUCACCACCUUACACAACAUCCACAGCAUUAUUAGGAUCCGGCACCUCUCUGAUUUGUCUUUGUUUGUUCCGGCACCUAUUUUCCCAGAUCCAGUACCUUUCGCUGCGUGAAUGAUUUAUUAUUUCACUGUUCUCACUGUAGACAAUCUAAUAAAAGCGAUCAGCAUUCAA